rnacentral:rRNA from 1 species
CUGAUGCAGCCACGCCGCGUGAGGGAUGAAGGCCUUCGGGUUGUAAACCCCUUUCAGCAGGGAAGAAGCGCACGUGACGGUACCUGCAGAAGAAGCGCCGGCUAACUACAUGCCACCAGCCGCGGUAAUACGUAGGGCGCAAGCGUUGUCCGGAAUUAUUGGGCGUAAAGAGCUCGUAGGCGGUUUGUCGCGUCUGGUGUGAAAACUCAUGGCUCAACCUUGGGCCUGCAUCCUGUACGGCCAGACUACAGUGCAGUAGGGGUGACUGGAAUUCCUGGUGUAGCGGUGGAAUGCGCAGAUAUCAAGAGGAACACCGAUAGCGAAGGCAGGUCACUGGUCCUCAACUGACGCUGAGGAGCGAAAGCAUGGGGAGCGAACAGGAUUAGAUACCCUGGUAGUCCAUGCCGUAAACGUUGGGCACUAGGUGUGGGGCUCAUUCCACUAGUUCCGUGCCGCAACAAACGCAUUAAGUGCCCCACCUGGGGAGUACGGCCGCAAGGCUA